GCUACAGUGCUACUGGCCCAUAAUCAGGCAACUGCAGAGUCUUAGGGGGUUAUCUAAUGUAGUCUUGGGGUGGCUGGAUAGACUUCCCAAAGAAGGUGAUGCCGAAGCUGAGGUCGGAAAUUACGAAGAUCAGCUAUCAAACUUGGAAAUCAUGUCUUAGAGAUCAAGGAGCCAAGAGAUGAGACAAGCCUGGGUUCCUAGGUGAUAGGGUGUGGCUGUGUCCCCACCCAAAUCUCGUCUUGAAUUGUAGCUCCCAUAAUCCCCACAUGUUGUGGAGGGACCCUGUGGAAGGUAAUUGAAUUAUGGAGGAAGGCCUGAGGAGAGAAGACACAUAGUCAUGCUGACUAAACCAGAUCACCUAGAAUUACCAAAUGGAAAGAUUGUGCCUGCAGCCUGGCCUGUUGCCCACAGCGGUCUACCUGCCACACUGGGAAAGAUCGAGCAGAGACAGAGAAGAAAAGGAGGCUCCAUUUUUCAGGCUGCUCUCCCGCAGGCUCAUGUUUUGUGUUCAUGCCAGGCAGAGAACACAAAAUGUUCCAAUAAAUAAGUAUCAAAGGUUAGUGGUGAAAAUGAAGGAGGAGGAGGCAUUGCGUGAAAAACUAAACAUGCAAAAUAUUACACACAAAGAGAACCAAAAUGCAGGUUCACUGGAAAUGAUAGACAAUAUGUUAAAACAAGAGGAGAGAAGAGAGCUGAAAUAAUCAAAUGGAAACACACAAUUUAGGGCUAAGAUCUUGUUGUGUUCAGCCACAAAUGAUGGCCAGCAGUGAGGAAUCUGUGUGUUCUCCACACUCUUCGCUCCUGGGAAGUCAACUCACAUGGACCAUGAUAUCAAUAUCUGCUCCUUCCCCUAAUAUCUGUUUGACCUUGGGUCAGUUACUUAAACUUCCUAAGCCUUAGUUUCUUUGUCUGGAAAAUAGGGAUAGUUAUA
rnacentral:lncRNA from 10 species